CCUGUGUUGAGAGAAGACUGUGUUCUCAUGAAGAACAGAAGAGAUAGUCUGAUAAGAUGAGCCUGUUCCUCCAAGCUCAGUAGCUGUGACUUCAGAUUUUGUGGUAUUUCCAGUCAAUGAAAUGGCAAGGUUGGUGGCACAGACACCUCCCUCUUCCCUAGUUGAAGAUACUGUUUUCACCUUCUCCACUCCCCUACACACAGAAGAGAAUGAGGAUGCAGACUCUAUUCAGUGAUGGCAUAUAUAACAUCCCUCUUCAAAGGAACCUGGCCUCCUCUUCAAUCAAUGAGCUCUGGACCUUAGGUCCAACUCACAUCUGAAAACCAGUUAAGAACAACUCAUAAACGAGGCUUUUGCCACCAUAUCUCUACAGUGCCAGCACUCUUCCCUCUUGCUUCACUGCAAAUGAGAAUCUCACAGGAACUGACCUGCAAAAGAGUAAGAUGAAAAAUGUUCAGAAUGUUUCAAAACUCCACUUGACACUAGCAAUAAGGUCUUGUUCCCAUUGAGCAGGUGAGUUCUCCAGUUCCAGAAUCAUGCCAAGCCACUCCUACCCAGGACCACUUUCAGCACUAUCUGAUUCGUCCUGAAUCAGACCCUAACACAAAGAUUUGAGUACAAGUAGUUUAUUUCCAAAUGGAUUUCAGGACACAGUAGGAGAGACAGGGAAAAGUAGAAAGUCAAUGAAGGGUGUGUAUCAAGCAGGAGACUUUAUGCCACACUGGGACUUCAUGGCCCUGGGAAAACAGGCAACACUCUAGAG
ensembl:lncRNA